CACGUAGGGUGCGAGCGUUGUCCGGAAUUAUUGGGCGUAAAGAGCUUGUAGGCGGUUUGUCGCGUCUGCUGUGAAAACUCGAGGCUCAACCUCGAGACGUCGGUUGAAACCGUAAGGCUAGAGUCCGGAAGAGGAGAGUGGAAUUCCCGGUGUAGCGGUGAAAUGCGCAGAUAUCGGGAAGAACACCCGUGGCGAAGGCGGCUCUCUGGGACGGUACUGACGCUGAGACGCGAAAGCGUGGGGAGCGAACAGG
rnacentral:rRNA from 1 species